GAUGAACGCUGGCGGCGUGCCUAAUACAUGCAAGUCGAGCGAACGGACGAGAAGCUUGCUUCUCUGAUGUUAGCGGCGGACGGGUGAGUAACACGUGGAUAACCUACCUAUAAGACUGGGAUAACUUCGGGAAACCGGAGCUAAUACCGGAUAAUAUUUUGAACCGCAUGGUUCAAAAGUGAAAGACGGUCUUGCUGUCACUUAUAGAUGGAUCCGCGCUGCAUUAGCUAGUUGGUAAGGUAACGGCUUACCAAGGCAACGAUGCAUAGCCGACCUGAGAGGGGGACAGGCAACACGGAAAAAGAGACGGGGUCCGGACCCCGACGGGAGGCACGAGAAGGGAAUCUCCCGAAGGGGGAGAAGGCCUGAGGGGACACCGCCGAGGGAGGGAUAAGGGUCUCCGGAUCGAAAAAUUUUGUUAUGGGGGAAAAACAUAUGUGUAAGUAACUGUGCACUUCUGGAGGGUCCCUAAUAAGAAACCCACGGUAACCUCCGAC
rnacentral:rRNA from 1 species